rnacentral:rRNA from 1 species
AUCUACAGCCAUGCUACCCUGAACAAGCCCAAUCCCGACUGAUCUUGGAAGCUAAGCAGGGUCAGGCCUGGUUAGUACUUGGAUGGGAGACCACAUAGGAAGACCAGGUACUAUAGGCG